GAUGUUUAACUGGGUGGUGAAAGUGGUCCCCCAACUUCCUGAAGUUCCCGGGACAGAAGAAGCUCCUAAGAACCCUGCUGCUGACCAACCUAAAAACAGAUCAGUGAAGAGUCCUCCACUGAAAAACACAGAAGAGGCUUCAGAGGACAGCCAGAACCAGACUGGAGUUUUAGGCUGGCUGUCCAAUGGGUUCGUCAGCUCACUGCCUCAACCUUCUGGCUCCCCUCGACUCAGCAGGUCCAACUCUGAUGCCAAGUCAGGAGAGGAUGGAGAAAGGUCCGGAGUGAUCGGCUGGGUCGCUCAGGGUCUCACCAAGGUGUUGCCUCAGCCUGAUGAAAAGUACAAAGAGACUAAUUGCAACAACGGCAACGAAGAACACACUGAGGUGUAUGAAGUAGCCACAAUGCCAGAUUUCGAUCCCCUCCCACACAUCCCGGUGGUGGAGAUGGUGUCAGAGGACGAGGCGUCAGAGGUAGAGAGUCAGAGACUGCUCCCUCCCAACAUGGUGAACUGGAUAAAGCAGAUGGUCCCGCAGCCAGUUAUGCUGCCCCCUGGUGCCGUACCUAUAGAACCAUACUCCAAGUCCACCCGCUCCUCUCUGGACAAAGUUUUGUCUCCACCACCUGAGUCUCUCAGUGGAAUCUCACUGGAUACUGAUAGCAAGGCCUCAGGUGUGGUUGGCUGGUUCGUGUCAGGACUGGGCCUGAAGCUUCCUCAGCCUGCCGUCCCACCCAAAGACGACACUGGGGGUGCAGCUGAAGUUAUACAGAAAGCUACAUCCAAACUCAAACCCGACAUGGUACUAGAAGACAUGGAGUACGACAACGAGGUCCAGCAGAAACAUGGUCGGUCCAAAGUUGCAGCACCGUCCACAUCACCGACUCCACUGUCACCGGCAGCAAAGCACCAGCAGGACGCCUCAGAGCAGCCUCAGAUGGGCAACUCAGAACCACAACUGUCAGAGAGUGUGGCAAAAAUGUCUCAGGAAGACGCUGAGACCCAGACGGGCCGCUGGACGCCGUUCAUUGAAAGCAUCAAGAGGGAGGCAGAAGAUAUAGCUUUGGCUACCAUGGAGGAACGUCUGCAGCAGGAGCGCUUGGAUUUGGCACGUAUGGCCGAAGAGGUGGCCAGGCAGACAGCUGAGAUGGCCAUUAGACAGAUGGCCAGUGAGGGGCAGUCCAUCAAACUCUCACUGGGGAGUCAGGAACUGCUGGACGAGCCUGACGCCGAGUAA
rnacentral:lncRNA from 15 species